GUUAACGAGGCGAACCGGGGGAACUGAAACAUCUAAGUACCCCGAGGAAAAGAAAUCAACCGAGAUUCCCCCAGUAGCGGCGAGCGAACGGGGAGCAGCCCAGAGUCUGAAUCAGCUUGUGUGUUAGUGGAACGGUCUGGAAAGUCCGACGGUACAGGGUGAUAGUCCCGUACACCAAAAUGCACAGGUUGUGAACUCGAAGAGUAGGGCGGGACACGUGGUAUCCUGUCUGAAUAUGGGGGGACCAUCCUCCAAGGCUAAAUACUCCUGACUGACCGAUAGUGAACCAGUACCGUGAGGGAAAGGCGAAAAGAACCCCGGCGAGGGGAGUGAAAAAGAACCUGAAACCGUGU
rnacentral:rRNA from 1 species